GUGUGUGUGUGUGUGUGUGUGUGUGUUGAAAGUCCAAGCUUUUUCACGGCUUCUCAGUGUCUCGCUCUGGCUUGUCUGUGGUACACGGCACUGCCUGGCAGGAGACCACCGGGGCUGAUGACCAAGAGCCCAGAGUCAACAGUUGGACCACGGCGCUUGCUGAUAAACACACAGCUCAGCAUAUAGACUAAGACUGAGAAAACAGCGCCCCCCACUCCCCCACCCUCCCCCAUGCAAGCGCUCGCAUCCAGUCCGGCUGGUAGCUAAUCAAUCCGGCCUAAUAUUGUUUGCCCAAAGAUUCUCAGAUCCGAGCGAACAGCAGACCACCCGCUGCGCUCUGUCUCCCUGACGCCCAGAGCCUGGCGUCUCCCAGCGCGAGCUGCCCGUUGCUGCUUCCCAGUGAGAGAGCUCAGGGGAUCCUUUAAUGUGGAGGGGGGGGGGCUGAUCUAACGGGGCCAAGUAAAGGUCAGGUUCUUUAUUUUUUUUUUUCUCUCAGAGGAGUUCUUUGAAGGCCUCCCAGCCUUUCUUUUGUGGUGCCAGCGUGCAGGAAUCUGUGAACAAGAGCUCUGGGUUAGGGUUAGGGUUAGUGGGAGUGGAGAUUCGUUUUUUUGUUUGUUGUUGUUUUUUGUUUCACUCAGCAGAAGUCUAAAAUGUGAACAUUGACUACAGGCCUGCCUCUCGGAGGUGCUGACCCGACUCAUAAAACCUCUGAGUUCCAUGUGUGUAGAGGCCCUUGGCACUCACCUCAGAGGGCCCUGGGGCCACAAGUGGUGCUAGACAUAUUUCACCUCUGUAGAAUCUCAGCUCUCAGUGUGUUACAUGUUUGUUUUUUUUUGGUUUGUUUUAGUUUUUCCAUAUGUAAUUGUGGACAUGACUUUUUACUAGGAUUAUUUAAUACUUAAGAUAUAGCUACCUUUUUUUUUAUUCCUGAUUAACUGUCAUUGAUGGCUUUUGUGUUGUUUGUGUGUUUACCUUCUGUAGUGCCAAUGUCUUGUAUAUUCAUGUACUGUAUGUUUUUAGUUGCACAGAUGUUUUGGUACAUAAACUGCCACUAUAUGCGUUUUAAUGGUGCUGAUUUUGUUCAUCAUAAAUUUUAAGAUGUUAUUUCUUUAAUAAAUGAAUGUCUUGACAUAAAUCAGCCCUGUUCAAUUCAGUAAAACUGAUAAAAAAAAUAGAAAGUAAAAAUGAAAUGACAGAGGAUAAAGUCUUACAGCUCAACUGUAAAUUGUUUGCAGGACAAUAAAUGGAAUCUUAUUAACAUUAUGUGACAGUCAGCUAAUUUCACCCAUUAUUCCUGU
ensembl:lncRNA